rnacentral:tRNA from 1 species
CCUAUGAUGGCCAAGUGGUUAAGGCGUUGGACUCAAAAUCCAGUGGGAUUUCCCUCACACAGGUUCAAAUCUUGUCACAGUG